UACGGGGGGGGCAAGCGUUGUUCGGAAUUACUGGGCGUAAAGGGCUCGUAGGCGGCCAACUAAGUCAGACGUGAAAUCCCUCGGCUUAACCGGGGAACUGCGUCUGAUACUGGAUGGCUUGAAUCCGGGAGAGGGAUGCGGAAUUCCAGGUGUAGCGGUGAAAUGCGUAGAUAUCAGGAGGAACACCGGUGGCGAAGGCGGAUCUCUGGGCCGAUACUGACGCUGAGGAGCGAAAGCGUGGGGAGCGAACAGG
rnacentral:rRNA from 1 species